AUUGAACGCUGGCGGAAUGCUUUACACAUGCAAGUCGAACGGCAGCACGGACUUCGGUCUGGUGGCGAGUGGCGAACGGGUGAGUAAUGUAUCGGAACGUGCCCAGUCGUGGGGGAUAACGUAGUGAAAAUUACGCUAAUACCGCAUACGAUCUAUGGAUGAAAGCGGGGGAUCGCAAGACCUCGCGCGAUUGGAGCGGCCGAUAUCAGAGUAGGUAGUUGGUGGGGUAAAGGCCCAGCAAGCCAACGAUCUGUAGCUGGUCUGAGAGGACGAACAGCCAAACUGGAACUGAGACACGGUCCAGACGCCUACGGGAGGCAGCAGUGGGGAAUUUUGGACAAUGGGCGAAAGCCUGAUCCAGCCAUUCCGCGUGCAGGAUGAAGGCCCUCGGGUUGUAAACUGCUUUUGUACAGAACGAAAAGGUUUCUACUAAUACUAGGAGCUCAUGACGGUACUGUAAGAAUAAGCACCGGCUAACUACGUGCCAGCCGCCGCCGUAA
rnacentral:rRNA from 1 species